AAAGGGGAGAUAAUAAGGCAAGAUGGCGAAUAAUAAUCCUAACAAUGGAGCUGUUAAUCCCCCUCCAUUGAUGCGACCCCCUUUUAUGCCCCCAACAGGACCAGGUGGUGCUCCACCCCCCGGUUUUAUCCCUCCAAAUAUGGGCGGACCUCCAGGUGACCCGUCUAUGAUGCCUCCAGGGUUUCCUCCUAUUCCCAACCUGCCACCACAAGGUUUCCCUGGAAUGCCACCUAUGAUGCCACCUAUGGGAAUGUUUAAACCAGGUUUAGAUUCAGAUAAG